rnacentral:pre_miRNA from 1 species
CUAGAUCUACUAGUUAGACUGCAUAGUUUAGAAGACCAUUGUCUAGAUCUACUAGUUAGACUGUGGUCUUCUAAACUAUGCAGUCUAACUAGUAGAUCUAG